rnacentral:misc_RNA from 1 species
GAUGAAGAACGCAGCGAAAUGCGAUAAGUAAUGUGAAUUGCAGAAUUCAGUGAAUCAUCGAAUCUUUGAACGCACAUUGCGCCCCUUGGUAUUCCGAGGGGCAUGCCUGUUCGAGCGUCAUAUUAACCACUCCCGCUUGCGGGGUCUUGGGCUUCGCCUCCGGGCGGGCCUUAAAAUCAGUGGCGGUGCCGUCGGGCUCUACGCGUAGUAAAUUUUCUCGCGAUAGGGUCCCGGUGGAUGCUUGCCAACAACCCCCAACUUCUUAAGGUUGCCCUCGGAUCAGGUAGGGAUACCCGCUGAACUUAAGCAUAUCAAUAAGCGGAGGA